AACGCUCAGAUACAUAACGUUUUUCAUGUCAGUCAACUGAAACAUCAUCUGGGUCCGAAAGCUAUACCAGCUCCGGGCUUGCCACUCGUGGACGACGCAGGCAGGAUCAAAAUAGCACCAGUGCUGGUUUUACAAACAAGAGCAGUACCAAGACACCCGCAUCUAGUCACAUAGUGGUUAGUGCAGUGGCUCAACAUGUCUCUGGAAGAGGCCACCUGGGAGGAUGCCGAUUUCAUCAAACGCACCUUUCCGGAAUUCUUCAACAACACAAUCCGCUCCUGGUUUCCUUCCAAAGAUCCUCGAGGGCAAGGAUCGUCUUCAGAGGGAGGCAAUUGUCAGGACUCUACUUCUCUGCAAUGCCUAACUGAAGAAGGAAAUAGAAACUCUGAAGAAAUCAACACCGCGCUCGAACCGUUAUGCACUUGGGAAAUGGACGACCCAGAUGAAGCGUUCUGGCGAUCAACGGCUACCCUGCUCUCCUGUUCACAGUCACGCCGUUGCCGCCACCCACUGGACAGCUACAGUAACGGAACGGCACGCGACAACGACUCUGCCUGCUCCGCCAGCUAUUAA
rnacentral:rRNA from 1 species